UACGAAUGGGGCAAGCGUUGUUCGGAAUCACUGGGCUUAAAGCGUACGCAGGCGGACACACAAGUCAGAAGUGAAAUCCCUAGGCUUAACCUAGGAAUUGCUUUUGAAACUGUAUGUCUAGAAUCCCGGAGAGGUUGGCAGAAUUCCGAGUGUAGAGGUGAAAUUCGCAGAUAUUCGGAGGAAUACCAGUGGCGCAAGCGGCCAACUGGACGGGCAUUGACGCUCAGGUACGAAAGCGUGGGGAGCAAACAGG
rnacentral:rRNA from 1 species